GUCGUGCAAGAUUUUACCCCCCAUUUCAGAAAAAUUCCGAUGAGUUUAUGUCAUGAGGGUGAUCUGAUCGGUGAUUACAUCAUAUUCUGUUCCAACUAUUUUAGCAUUGGCAUGGCCACGGUCAGCUCUGGCCGGAACCAAAUUGAUUUAAUUCGAAAUUAAAAUCAAACUAACAUUUAUCUUAAUCGACCAAUUACUGGCCAGCCUAAUAUGAAUUGGGUCUUGCAAUAACCCCAAGUCCACCGCUCCAUUCUGAGAAUCACU
rnacentral:misc_RNA from 1 species